GAUGAACGCUGGCGGCGUGCCUAAUACAUGCAAGUCGAGCGAACAGACGCGGCGCUUGCUCCUCUGACGUUAGCGGCGGGCGGGUGAGUCACACGUGGAUACCCUACCUAUAAGACUGGGAUCACUUCGGGAAACCGGCUCUAAUACCGGAUAAUCUAUUGAACCGCAUGGUUCAAUAGUAAAAUACGGUUUUGCUGUCACUUAUCGCUGGAUCCCGGCCGCAUUAGCUGGUUGGUACGGUAACGGCUUACCAAGGCAACGAUGCGUAGCCGAACUGACUGGGGGAUAGGCCACAUUGGAAGGGGACCACGGACCAGACGACUGCGGGAGGCAGCAGAAGGGAAUGGGCGGCAGCGGGCGAAAACCUGACGGAGCAACGCGGAGUGAGAGAUGAAGGUGCCGGGAUCGUAAAACUCUGUUAUGAGGGAAGAACAAAUGUCUAAUGAGCUAUGGACGUCUUGACGGUACCUGAUCAGAAAGCCACGGCUAACUACGUG
rnacentral:rRNA from 1 species